GUAACGCGUGAGAAUCUGCCUUCAGGAUGGGGACAACAAUUGGAAACGAUUGCUAAUACCCGAUAUGACGAAAGUUGAAAGAUUUAUCGCCUGGGGAUGAGCUCGCGUCAGAUUAGCUAGAUGGUGUGGUAACGGCGCACCAUGGCGACGAUCUGUAGCUGGUCUGAGAGGAUGAGCAGCCACACUGGGACUGAGACACGGCCCAGACUCCUACGGGAGGCAGCAGUGGGGAAUUUUCCGCAAUGGGCGCAAGCCUGACGGAGCAAUACCGCGUGAGGGAGGAAGGCUCUUGGGUCGUAAACCUCUUUUCUCAGGGAAGAACAAAAUGACGGUACCUGAGGAAUCAGCAUCGGCUAACUCCGUGCCAGCAGCCGCGGUAAUACGGAGGAUGCAAGCGUUAUCCGGAAUGAUUGGGCGUAAAGCGUCCGUAGGUGGUUAUGUAAGUCUGUGGUUAAAGCGUGGGGCUCAACCCCAUAAGGGCCAUGGAAACUACAAGACUUGAGUAAAGUAGGGGUAGAGGGAAUUCCCAGUGUAGCGGUGAAAUGCGUAGAGAUUGGGAAGAACACCGGUGGCGAAAGCGCUCUACUGGACUUAAACUGACACUGAGGGACGAAAGCUAGGGGAGCG
rnacentral:rRNA from 1 species